rnacentral:lncRNA from 1 species
GGUUAGUUGUUGGUUGGUGUCAGUGGGUUUUGUUUUUUAUUUUUUGUUUGUUUUGGCUUCUAAAGAAAUAUGUUUUGAUUUAACAAAAAGAGAACAUUAUCUAAGCUUCUUUGUGUUGCUUGAUUAAAUAAUAAGUCUGAUAAUUGUAAGUCUUUCAUUUGGCUCGUUGAUCUGCUUUUCCAGUCAAUUUCAAAUGGUGCCUUAUCUUUAUUUCCAGUUUCCCCAAAUGGAAUAAGGAAAACAUCUCCAUAUAUAUAUAUAUAUAAUAUAUAUUCAGUUUUUUAAAAGAAUAUUGAUUGGAUUGGCUUAGAUUCUACCUUUUUAAAAGUAGACUUAAGUAUUCAUGUCUGUAAGACAUACCAAAAUAUUUACAGAUUUUUUCAAAAAAAAUCUUGCAGACACAGAUGCACACAAUUAGAUUAUUAAGAUCUUAGUAAGACACAGAGACACAAACCAAACUCUUAACAAAACUGUAGUCACUUGGCCUAUAUGUAGUUACCACAUCCUCCAAUAAUGGAGAUGGAUCCGGAAAAAAAAAAAAAAGUGUUGUUCGGUGACUUUGUCCUUGUGCAAGCAUCAAAAUGUACGUAAACUAAGGUAGCAAAGUGUGCUUAGAUUAUAUAAUUUUAUUGGGACACAGUCCUGCAAGUGUUCUGUGAUUGGCUGAAGUUUCACAUGCUGCAUGACUGUUCUCUCUACACUAUGAUUGGUCCCCAGAAAGCAGAAAGGUUGUCACAAGCAGCAAUAUUUAAAACUGUAUGAUGGGAAGAGGAUGCAGUGCAUUGGUGAAAUAGCUGCUUAGAAUGUGCAAGGGCCUGAGUCCAGUUGCUUCCAUCUUAAACAAGCAAGCAAGCAAGCAAGCAAUGAGUUAGUCUGGGUAGUGCUCACGGUAGUGCUCACGGUAGUGCUCACGGUAGUGCUCGCCGAUAUUCUCAACUGCUUGAGAAGCUGUGGCAGCAGAAUCACAAGCUCAAGUCCUGCCUGGGCUACAAAAUUCAUUCCACCUUGGAUAACCUGAAAAUACCUUUCCUCUAAGUGGGGCUGGAAAUGGGAGGAAGACAGGAAGAGCACCUGCCUAGUGUGGUGAAGGCCCUAGUACCACAAAAAAAUGAAAACCAUAUUAAAGAUACCCAAUAAUAAUAGGCAAGCCAAUUUUCAACAGAACCAAAUUCUAAAAUGAUUCAAAAAAUAUAUAAAAUGGUUUAUCAGCAUACAGAAAGCCUCAGACUCAGUAGCCACCAGGAAAGUGCAAACCAGUCAUUGAAACUUCACACAAACUAGUGUAGUUGUAAUAAUAAUAAUUUUAAAAAGAUAAAAUAUUGGAGAAAUCAGAACACUGAUAGAGUACUAAUGGGAUAAAUAUGGUAGUAAACAGUCAAGGGGCUUAAAAAGGCUAAAUACUGAGGGAUGUGUGGCUUCAAUGUGGAACCCUUGUCUAUUGUAUGUGAGCCCCUGGGCUCCAUCCCUAGCACUAGGGAUAAAGACAUGUAGGUAGAGAACAUGCUUGUUUGCUAGCCCAACUAUCCCAUUGCUUUCCAAAGUGAAAACAGGUCUAUAUAAAAAUGGGCCUCCACAUUUGGUCAUGGUGGCGCACACUUAUGACCCCAGGGCUCAGGAGAUUGAGGCAGACACCUGCUGUGAUUUCAAGCCCAGAAUGGGUAAUAGUGUGUCUCAAAGAAGAUACAAAACCAUCUUGCCCCAAAGUAUAAGCAGUAUUAUUCACAGUAAGCCAAAACCAAGUACAGCUCAAAUGUUUACUGAUUGCUGAAUGAGUAAAUAAAAUGCGGUAUAUCACAUAUGGUGAAAUAUUAUUCAGCAACUUCUACCAUGGAUUUGAAUUGCAUACAGUGUUUUCUAAUUCACAAAUGCUAUUACUCUUUGCAUCCCAUAUAAGGUCCCAUAAAUGAUAUACUAUAUAUCACAUUCUGAAACUGUUUCUACUGUUACCUUUUUAGUCAUACUGAUGUCUACAAAUGUUACUAAUGACAGAAUAUUUAUAUGCUACAACUCACUCAUUUCCCAUUAAAUUGAUUGUUUCUCCUUUUGUGUUUUAUUUUUUGAGACUAUGUAGCUUUGAUCUGCCUCUUUUUCCUCCAUGAUCCUCCUGCCUCAGCCUCCCAGCCAUUGUAACAGUUUUCUUUAUAGCAGUGCAGUGAUGUUUCCCCAGACCCUCCAUGCAGAUCUAAAGGCGCUUCUUUGACAAAAGUGAACGGAGUGAAUUCAGGUGAUGUUUAAACUCUGGAUGCCAGUUUCCUCAGUAGCAAGAUGAGGAGUACAUCAUAAAUGGUAUACAACAUAUAUGAAGCACUUCAUGUAUUCCUUAUAAGCCUUAAGUUAGAUUUAUGACAGUUAGGCAUUUAUUUUCCCCAGAGUUACAACCAUGUGAGUCUCCUGUUGCCUUCAAGACUGGAAUCCUGCAGGAAAGAAUCCAGAGUCUGCUGCUGUGGUACGGACAGACACCUGUGGUAUUGCAGAGAGCAGGGCUCCUGAUGCUAGGAUGCCCUGAAAUUUGACUGUAGUUGGGCUCUCUGCAUCCUCCAUUCCUUUGUCCUGUUUCUUUUCUAAUUCAGAUUUCCAUUAGUGAGCAAACUAUCUAUUCUUCCAAAAACAUUUCUUUUCUAUUUGUUUCAAACAAGGUUUGUCUAGAACCUAAAUCAGUUUGUGAGCCAAGACUCUGAUGCCCUUUGAAACCAUAGAGGAAAGCUCUUUAUUGGCUUGUCAGCCUGCUUUCUUAUAUACCUCGGGAACCCCUUUCCAGGUGUGGCAUCACUCACAGGGAUGAUCCUACAUCAAUUGUCAAUGAAGAAAAUGCCCUGCAGGCAUGCUUACAGGUCAACUGGAUGGGGGGCUUUGCAGGAAAUCAUAGAAUUGGCCUGGUCUUGAAUCCUUGAGAGGCACCUGUCAUACAUUCUUCAGAUUAGAGUUCUUGGCUCCUGGAGCACCGUAUGCCUUUCAGUUCCUGAGAAACUGAGGCAUUCCCUCGGGCAGUGGAGCAUUCAGGCCACCUGUGUAUCUCUGUGUUCCCUAGAAGUCAGCAAAGCAUGUAGAAGCUUGGUUGGGCAAUUAGUCUUAGACCUUAAUCUUGUGUACCCUGUAGAACUUGCAAAUGUGAUUGUAUCCUGACAAUUAUAACUGUAUUCUUCCUAGCAACCACUAUGGUAUUCUGUUUCUGACAUGGGUAUAAAAUUUCUAAUUGUUUUCAAUAAACUUGUCUCAUCCUGUGUCAGUG